CAUAAGUAACGAUAAUGCGGGUGAAAAACCCGCACGCCGGAAGACCAAGGGUUCCUGUCCAACGUUAAUCGGGGCAGGGUGAGUCGACCCCUAAGGCGAGGCCGAAAGGCGUAGUCGAUGGGAAACAGGUUAAUAUUCCUGUACUUGGUGUUACUGCGAAGGGGGGACGGAGAAGGCUAUGUUAGCCGGGCGACGGUUGUCCCGGUUUAAGCAUGUAGGCGGAGAUUCCAGGUAAAUCCGGAGUCUUGUUAACGCUGAGGUGUGAUGACGAGGCACUACGGUGCUGAAGUAACAAAUGCCCUGCUUCCAGGAAAAGCCUCUAAGCAUCAGGUAACACAAAAUCGUACCCCAAACCGACACAGGUGGUCAGGUAGAGAAUACCAAGGCGCUUGAGAGAACUCGGGUGAAGGAACUAGGCAAAAUGGUGCCGUAACUUCGGGAGAAGGCACGCUGAUAUGUAGGUGAAGUGAUUUACUCAUGGAGCUGAAAUCAGUCGAAGAUACCAGCUGGCUGCAACUGUUUAUUAAAAACACAGCACUGUGCAAACACGAAAGUGGACGUAUACGGUGUGACGCCUGCCCGGUGCCGGAAGGUUAAUUGAUGGGGUUAUCCGUAAGGAGAAGCUCUUGAUCGAAGCCCCGGUAAACGGCGGCCGUAACUAUAACGGUCCUAAGGUAGCGAAAUUCCUUGUCGGGUAAGUUCCGACCUGCACGAAUGGCGUAAUGAUGGCCAGGCUGUCUCCACCCGAGACUCAGUGAAAUUGAACUCGCUGUGAAGAUGCAGUGUACCCGCGGCAAGACGGAAAGACCCCGUGAACCUUUACUAUAGCUUGACACUGAACACUGGUCCUUGAUGUGUAGGAUAGGUGGGAGGCUUUGAAGUGUGGACGCCAGUCUGCAUGGAGCCAACCUUGAAAUACCACCCUUUAAUGGCUGGUGUUCUAACGUAGACCCGUAAUCCGGGUUGCGGACAGUGUCUGGUGGGUAGUUUGACUGGGGCGGUCUCCUCCUAAAGAGUAACGGAGGAGCACGAAGGUUAGCUAAUCCUGGUCGGACAUCAGGAGGUUAGUGCAAAGGCAUAAGCUAGCUUGACUGCGAGAGUGACGGCUCGAGCAGGUGCGAAAGCAGGUCUUAGUGAUCCGGUGGUUCUGAAUGGAAGGGCCAUCGCUCAACGGAUAAAAGGUACUCCGGGGAUAACAGGCUGAUACCGCCCAAGAGUUCAUAUCGACGGCGGUGUUUGGCACCUCGAUGUCGGCUCAUCACAUCCUGGGGCUGAAGUAGGUCCCAAGGGUAUGGCUGUUCGCCAUUUAAAGUGGUACGCGAGCUGGGUUUAGAACGUCGUGAGACAGUUCGGUCCCUAUCUGCCGUGGGCGCUGGAGAAUUGAGGGGGGCUGCUCCUAGUACGAGAGGACCGGAGUGGACGCAUCACUGGUGUUCGGGUUGUCAUGCCAAUGGCAUUGCCCGGUAGCUAAAUGCGGAAGAGAUAAGUGCUGAAAGCAUCUAAGCACGAAACUUGCCCCGAGAUGAGUUCUCCCUGACCCUUUAAGGGUCCUGAAGGAACGUUGAAGACGACGACGUUGAUAGGUCGGGUGUGUAAGCGUAGCGAUACGUUGAGCUAACCGAUACUAAUGAACCGUGAGGCUUAACCUU
rnacentral:rRNA from 1 species